CCAACGUGGAUAUCCUCGGAGGUCAUCCUCCCUGGGCUCUGUCCAGGUGGCACAAGGCUCUGCCCCAUGAUGUACCGUCUCUCUCCACAAUGUUGGAGAAGGAGCUGGGCUUUGUGUCUGCAGCUGCAUAUUUCUACAACUUCUCAGAGUCCUUUGGAUAAACUAUGAAGAGAUAAACUAUGCCGGAAACAGUC
ensembl:snoRNA SNORA73 Small nucleolar RNA SNORA73 family